CCGACGAAGAGGCACUUCAGGUAAUGAGUGCGCUCUGUCCCGUGGUACUGGCACCAAAUCUGGCAGUGGAUCUUGCCGUGGUGAAACGCUAGAAUCUUCUCCUUCGGAGUAUAACCGACGCGACACACUACCUGUUAAGCUGAUGAUGAUGAUGAUGAUGGUGGUGGUGGUGGUGA